UUCUCCAACAAAAUAAAAUAUAACGUUUUUCACUAUUUGUAUAGCUGCAUAGAUUCUUGUUAUAGUUAUGGUGAGUAUAGUAUAAUGUGAAAUUUUGUUCGAAAGAGAAAAAUUAAGCGAGUGAAAUGAAGUUAAUUUUCAAGCAUCUCGUGACCUUUCGACGUAUGCAGUUGAGCUGCUACGGAUCACAUUGCUCGCACCGAUUGGAUGCGACAAAUGAUGUUUUAUCGACAUUUUAUAUUGAGAUAUAACUGUAAUUCUCAGUGCCAAAAAAAUAACUCAAGGUUUGCGAUAUCAAAAUUGAAAUUCCCAAUGAUAUUGCAGAUGCGAAAAUUUCAUACGCCUUUAAUAAAGAAUUAAUACAUUUAUACCACGCAUUUUACGUAAGCCCUGUAAAAAGUUGUCGGUUAUAUAUUAACAUACACGUUUAAUAGAUAGCUUCGUGUAUAAUGUUUUUAAUAAUUAUUAAUCACAAACGAUGUGACGCGUUUGCUUGUAUCCCGCGUUUACGAAAAUUACAACACGGAGACUUCCAGUCAUCCGGCUAUGCGUGUAGAGAUGUUCGAGUUGAAAACAUUCUCUCAAAUUUAUAGGGUUAUCGAAGAGAAACAUAAAAACUUGUAGAAAAAAUAAAA